GACGAACGCUGGCGGCGUGCUUAACACAUGCAAGUCGAGCGGAAAGGCCUCUUUGGGGGUACUCGAGCGGCGAACGGGUGAGUAACACGUGAGUAACCUGCCCCAGUCUUUGGGAUAACCCUCGGAAACGGGGGCUAAUACCGGAUAUGACCUGUGACUGCAUGGUUGUGGGUGGAAAGAUUUUUUGGUCUGGGAGUGGGCGUCGCGGCCUAUCAGCUUGUUGGUGGGGUGAUGGCCUACCAAGGCGACGACGGGUAGCCGGCCUGAGAGGGCGGACCGGCCACACUGGGACUGAGACACGGCCCAGACUCCUACGGGAGGCAGCAGUGGGGAAUAUUGCACAAUGGGCGGAAGCCUGAUGCAGCGACGCCGCGUGAGGGAUGACGGCC
rnacentral:rRNA from 1 species